UAUUUGAAAACGAGAAAGCUCCCAGCAAUGCUUUGAUAGGGGCAAUGGAGCAAUGAAGGCUCCCCCUGACGCCAAGAAAGACCACAUGAUCCGAGCUACUUGCGAAAUGUUGGAAAACGAGUUUGAGAUGAACUAAGUGCCAACUACCGACUGUUUCCUCCUUCUCUGUGUACUAGCUACAAGUACAAAACAGCGUAACAAGGAAGUUUGUGUUCCUUGGGAGGUGGAUUUGACCGAAAGGAGAGAGAGUUAAAAGCAGCAGCGUCUCCUGUUAAAUAAAAUCCUCUUUAGAAAA